rnacentral:rRNA from 1 species
GACGAACGCUGGCGGCGUGCUUAACACAUGCAAGUCGAACGGACAGGCCCUGCUUUUGUGGGGUGCUCGAGUGGCGAACGGGUGAGUAACACGUGAGUAACCUGUCCUUGACUUUGGGAUAACUUCAGGAAACUGGGGCUAAUACCGGAUAGGAGCUCCUGCUGCAUGGUGGGGGUUGGAAAGUUUCGGCGGUUGGGGAUGGACUCGCGGCUUAUCAGCUUGUUGGUGGGGUAGUGGCUUACCAAGGCUUUGACGGGUAGCCGGCCUGAGAGGGUGACCGGCCACAUUAGGACUGAGAUACGGCCCAGACUCCUACGGGAGGCAGCAGUGGGGAAUAUUGCACAAUGGGCGGAAGCCUGAUGCAGCAACGCCGCGUGCGGGAUGACGGCCUUCGGGUUGUAAACCGCUUUCGCCUGUGACGAAGCGUGAGUGACGGUAAUGGGUAAAGAAGCACCGGCUAACUACGUG